AUUGAACGCUGGCGGCAUGCCUUACACAUGCCAGUCGAACGGUAACAGGUCUUUCGGGAUGCUUACGAGUGGCGAACGGGUGAGUAAUACAUCGGAACGUCCCUAGCUGUGGGGUAUAACUACUCGAAAGAGUGGCUAAUACCGCAUGAGAUCAAUGGAUGAAAGCAGGGGACCUUUGGGCCUUGUGCUCCUAGGGCGGCGGAUGGCGGAUUAGGUAGUUGGUGGGAUAAAAGCUUACCAAGCCGACGAUCUGUAGCUGGUCUGAGAGGAGGAUCAGCCACACUGGAACUGAGACACGGCCCAGACUCCUACGGGAGGCAGCAGUGGGGAAUUUUGGACAAUGGGCGCAAGCCUGAUCCAGCAAUGCCGCGUGCGGGAUGAAGGCCUUCGGGUUGUAAAGUGCUUUUGUACGGAACGAAAAGCCUUGGGUUAAUACCCUGCGAUCAUGACGGUACCGUAAGAAUAAGCACCGGCUAACUACGUG
rnacentral:rRNA from 1 species